rnacentral:misc_RNA from 1 species
GAUGAAGAACGUAGCAAAAUGCGAUAAGUAAUGUGAAUUGCAGAAUUCAGUGAAUCAUCGAAUCUUUGAACGCACAUUGCGCCCGCUGGUAUUCCGGCGGGCAUGCCUGUUCGAGCGUCAUUUCAACCCUCAAGCCCCCGGGUUUGGUGUUGGGGAUCGGCUCUGCCCUCUGGGCGGUGCCGCCCCCGAAAUACAUUGGCGGUCUCGCUGCAGCCUCCAUUGCGUAGUAGCUAACACCUCGCAACUGGAACGCGGCGCGGCCAUGCCGUAAAACCCCAACUUCUGAAUGUUGACCUCGGAUCAGGUAGGAAUACCCGCUGAACUUAAGCAUAUCAAUAAGCGGAGGA